UACGUAGGGGGCAAGCGUUGUCCGGAUUUAUUGGGCGUAAAGAGCGUGUAGGCGGCCAUGCAGGUCCGUUGUGAAAACUCGAGGCUCAACCUCGAGACGCCGGUGGAAACCGUGUGGCUAGAGUCCGGAAGAGGAGAGUGGAAUUCCUGGUGUAGCGGUGAAAUGCGCAGAUAUCAGGAAGAACACCCGUGGCGAAGGCGGCUCACUGGCCCGAUACUGACGCUGAGGCACGAAAGCGUGGGGAGCAAACAGG
rnacentral:rRNA from 1 species